rnacentral:lncRNA from 1 species
UCGCAUGCAACAUGUACACACUGCGUACCUAUUUUUGUCUAUACUGGAAAUGUCAAAGUUUUACAUUGGAUAUUAACUGAUUUUACUGACCUUUUGAAGUUGAUGAAUGACACUGCCUUCACACAUUUCCCCACCUCGCUAAAUCCCUCUAUAUUGGUGGUCUAUAAAGUACACCGUCCACCUUGGUUACUUUAAUUCCUCAG